AUAAAAACAAAGUAAACUCACAAAUUUAUUACCAAUUGUCAAAAUAGUAAUAUUUUCAUGUAUUAAAAGACACCUACAAAUUGUGAAGUUUGAUAUCACACCCUGAGAUUAAUUGUGACGCAAUGAACAUCCUAGCAUUUGGGGACUGUCCUAUAGUUUAUUCAAUGGAAAACAAAUUGUGGCGCAGAUAUUUAAUGAAGCCAUAAUCAAUAUCGCAAAAAAAUAAUCCAAGUCCGAAAACAAAACACCAUGAAGGAUAAAAGCGCACUACCGAUAAAUCUAAGACCCUGUCAAGGAUACAAAAUAUUCGAGACUGUUAAUCAAAGCUAAUAAGGGUCCUCUGGUGAUGCCUCCCCAUCAAAUAAACAGUGAUGCUAAUGGAAAGAAUAUUUGGUUGUAAAGAAGCUCUAGAUGCAGAUAAUAUUGCUUUUGCACUGUUGAUUGCAAAAAGGAGUUUCUUAAAGGAUGCCAUUAAAUGCAAGGAAAUGCUUAUAAAUGCAGUGGAAACCGAAUUUUUCAUACAACAAAAAAAACUUUGAAUAAACAUUUUAAGAAUGGAUGGAACAUAAGCACAUGUACAUACAUUUAUUAAUUACAUAUACAAAAAUACAACCGCGAGCAAAGCUG